AGUGAACGCUGGCGGUAGGCCUAACACAUGCAAGUCGAACGGCAGCACAGUAAGAGCUUGCUCUUACGGGUGGCGAGUGGCGGACGGGUGCGGCAUACAUCGGAAUCUACUUUUUCGUGGGGGAUAACGUAGGGAAACUUACGCUAAUACCUCAUACGAACUACGGGUGAAAGCAGGGGAUCUUCGGACCUUGCGCGAUUGAAUGAGCCGAUGUCGGAUUGGCAAGUUGGCGGGGUAAAGGCCCACCAAAGCGACGAUCCGUAGCUGGACUGACAGGAGGAUCGGCUACACUGGAACUGAUACACGGUCCAGACUCCUACGGGAGGCACCAGUGGGGAAUAGUGGACCAUGGGGUCAAGCCUGAUCCAGCCAUACCGCGUGGGUGAAGAAGGCGUUCAGGUUGUAAAGCCCUUUUGUUGGGAAAGAAAAGCAGCAGGUUAAUACCCCGCUGUUCUGACGGUACCCAAACAAUAAGCACCGGCUAACUUCGUG
rnacentral:rRNA from 1 species